UUCUCUUCGGAGCAGCGAGUGACAGGUGGUGCAUGGUUGUCGUCAGCUCGUGUCGUGAGAUGUUGGGUUAAGUCCCGCAACGAGCGCAACCCUUAUCCUUAGUAGCCAGCAUUUAGGAUGGGCACUCUAGGGAGACUGCCAGGGAUAACCUGGAGGAAGGGGGGGAUGACGUCAAAUCAUCAUGCCCCUUAUGACUUGGGCUACACACGUGCUACAAUGGCGUAAACAAAGGGAAGCAAACCCGGGAGGGGAAGCAAAUCUCAAAAAUAACGUCUCAGUUCGGAUUGUAGUCUGCAACCCGACUACACGAAGCUGGAAUCGCUAGUAAUCGCAAAUCAAAAUGCUGCGGUGAAUACUUUCCCGGGUCUUG
rnacentral:rRNA from 1 species